rnacentral:rRNA from 1 species
UACGUAGGGGGCAAGCGUUGUCCGGAAUCAUUGGGCGUAAAGCGCGUGUAGGCGGCUCGGUAAGUCCGCUCUGAAAGCCCGGGGCUCAACCCCGGGAGGCGGGUGGAUACUGCUGAGCUCGAGUCCGGAAGAGGAGUGUGGAAUUCCUGGUGUAGCGGUGAAAUGCGCAGAUAUCAGGAGGAACACCGGUGGCGAAGGCGGUUCUCUGGGCAUUACCUGACGCUGAGGAGCGAAAGCGUGGGGAGCAAACAGG